CCUGUUUGCUGCCUACGCCAUUCUUGAGUGUGCAAGUGAUACUGAUGGACUUGACCUCACUCCCUAAAUUUUCCACAGACCACACAAACACUCCGCCAGGCACACAUGAAUCCUUCAACAGACAAACACCUUGGAAGCUUCCAAUAAAUGUCGACUAUAAGUGCAUCACAGCACUCCUAAAGACGGUGAACCCUCGUUACGUGUAGAAACUUCCUAUGAAGAAUGGAUAACACUACCUACAGGUAUGUAUCCCAAGACAGUGACAAUGAUGAUGACAGGUUAGCCAGAAUUGUGCCUCUG